rnacentral:rRNA from 1 species
GGGAUUGCCUCAGUAGCGGCGAGUGAAGCGGCAGCAGCUCACAUUUGAAAUCUGACCCCGACGGGGCCCGAGUUGUAAUCUGCAGAGGGUGUUUCGGGUGCGGUCCCGGUCUAGGUUCCUUGGAACAGGGCGUCAUAGAGGGUGAGAACCCCGUCUGCGACCGGCGGCCGAGCCUGUGUGAAACCCCUUCGACGAGUCGAGUUGUUUGGGAAUGCAGCUCCAAAUGGGUGGUAAAUUUCAUCUAAAGCUAAAUAUUGGCCGGAGACCGAUAGCGCACAAGUAGAGUGAUCGAAAGAUGAAAAGCACUUUGGAAAGAGAGUCAAACAGUACGUGAAAUUGUUGAAAGGGAAGCGCUUGCGGCCAGACCCUGCAGGUGGCCGAUCAACCGGUCCUCCGACCGGUGCACUCGUCCACCAGCAGGCCAGCAUCGGUUUGGGCGGCGGGACAAAAGCGGCGGGAACGUAGCUCCCUCCGGGGAGAUCUUAUAGCCCGGUGUGCCAUGCCGCCAGCCCAGACCGAGGACCGCGCUUUGGCUAGGAUGCUGGCGUAAUGGCCGCAAGCGACCCGUCUUGAAACACGGACCAAGGAGUCUAACAUCUAUGCGAGUGUUUGGGUGUCAAACCCGGGCGCGGAAUGAAAGUGAACGGAGGUGGGACCCCUUGACCGGGCGCACCAUCGACCGAUCCAGAUGUCUUCGGAUGGAUUUGAGUAGGAGCAUAGCUGUUGGGACCCGAAAGAUGGUGAACUAUGCCUGAACAGGGUGAAGCCAGAGGAAACUCUGGUGGAAGCUCGCAGCGGUUCUGACGUGCAAAUCGAUCGUCGAAUUUGGGCAUAGGGGCGAAAGACUAAUCGAACCAUCUAGUAGCUGGUUC